GGGCAGCGCGGCGGCCCCGGGCUGCGCAGGUCCCUGGGGCGGCUGCUGAUGCCCGCGCUGCCCGCAGCUACGUGUCGGCCAUGGUGCCCGUCAAGUCCCCGCGCGAGUACUAUGUGCAGCAGGAGGUCGUCGUGCUCUUCUGCGAGACCGUGGAGAGGGCGCUGGGCCGCGGCUACCUCACCCAGGACAUGAUCGACGACUACGAGCCCGCCCUCAUGUUCACCAUCCCGCGGCUGGCCAUCGUGUGGUGAGUCCAGGCCCCUCGGGCCCAGGGAGGGCCCCGAAGCCAGGCCAGGCCGGCCCUCAGCGGGCAGGGGCCCAGGCGGGUUCUCCCCUCCACGGGGUGAGGGGUCCUGGGGGUGGGGUAGUCCGAGGAGGGGCAGCAGGUAGGCCGUGGGCGCUCGAUGGAAGGGCCUGUCGCACCCACGCCAGGGG
rnacentral:lncRNA from 1 species